GAUGAACGCUGGCUAUGUGCCUAAUACAUGCAAGUCGAGCGAACAUACCAGGAGCUUGCUCCUCUGACGUUAGCGGCGGUAGGUUGAGUAACCCUUUGAUAACCUACCUAUAAGACUGGGAUAACUUCGGGAAACCGGCGCUAAUACCACAUAAUAUAUUCAGCCGCAUAGUUCAAUAGAAAACGACGGUUUUGCUGUCACUUAUAGUUUGAUCCGCGGCGCAUUAGCUAGUUGGUAAGGUAACGGCUGACCAAGGCAACGAUUCGUAGCCGACCUGAGAGGGUGAUCAGCCACACUGGAACUGAGACAAGGUACAGACGCCUACGGGAGGCAGCAGCAGGGAAACUGCCGCAAUGGGCGAAAGACUGACGGAGAAAGGCCGAGGGAGGGAUGAAGGACUUCGGAUCGGAAAACUAGGGUAUUAGGGAAGAAAAAAUGUGUAAGUAAAGAGGCACGUCUUGACGGUACCUAAGCAGAAAGCCACGGCUAACUACGUG
rnacentral:rRNA from 1 species